rnacentral:rRNA from 1 species
AGCAGCCGCGGUAAUUCCAGCUCCAAUAGCGUAUAUUAAAGUUGUUGCAGUUAAAAAGCUCGUAGUUGAAUUUCGGGAUUAGUAAGUUGGUCGUGCCUCCGGUAUGUACUGGCUUUACUGGUUCCUCCUUCUUGAAGAACUGUAAUGUCAUUAAUUUGGUGUUGCAGGGAAACAGGACUGUUACUUUGAAAAAAUUAGAGUGUUUAAAGCAGGCUAACGCUUGAAUACAUUAGCAUGGAAUAAUGAAAUAGGACGUUUGAUCCUAUUUUGUUGGUUUCUAGGAUUGACGUAAUGAUUAAUAGGGAUAGUUGGGGGCAUUAGUAUUCAAUUGUCAGAGGUGAAAUUCUUGGAUUUAUUGAAGACUAACUACUGCGAAAGCAUUUGCCAAGGAUGUUUUCAUUAAUCAAGAACGAAAGUUAGGGGAUCGAAGACGAUCAGAUACCGUCGUAGUCUUAACCAUAAACUAUGCCGACUAGGGAUCGGAUGAUGUUAAUUUUUAAUGACUCAUUCGGCGCCUUAC